rnacentral:lncRNA from 1 species
AUGCAUUCAAGUUUGCAGGAACGCACACUAGGAAUCUGGCAUAUACUUCAUUUGACUUUUUCCCUCACCAUCCACUCAGUCCCUCAGACAUCUAAAGCCAACCCUCGCCCUCAGCUCUGCCACAGCCGGAAAAAGAUCCAAGUUCAGUUUUCAAGCAUUUGUCUCUUACAUCAUCGUCAGCCCCGUCCACUAGACUUGGAAUCAACAUCAAGGUUUAGCUCACUGUCAAUGCAAAGGAAAGAAGAGAAAAGAAAAGGCCCCAUGGUUCAUCAGGAGCAUCGUAACCAGAACCAUUCUUGGUUCCCUCUUCUGCAUCCUGGAGCAUCUCUCGGCCAUGAGUGCAGCCCUCGGAGGGUGGAAGGCAACGCCAGUACUCCUCGUUUACUCAGAGACGUAACCACGACCUGCGUGGUUAUUGUAAUGAACAGAUGGAGAAUUCCUGGACUCCUAGAUUUUUAGUCUGUUGCUGUUGUCACCACACCACCUCUCAACAAGGCCCCGGGCAUGGAUGUUGGGGGAGGAAGUGAGCCCUGCUCAGAAGAACCAUCUUUGGGUAGCGAAGAUAAUGAUCCUGGACCCCUAGAAGUGGCUCUUCCAAUUGGACCUUCAUAUUGUGACCAGAAGCUGUCAAACUCUUAGAGGGAACUUAUGGGUUGGAUUUUUCAUCCAAACAUUAAAUAUAUUCUUAUUGCUUUUACAUUUACAAAACUUGGGACUCCUUCCCCAAGGGUAAGGACGUAAACUCUUGCCAGACUAUAAAUCACGUUAUAUUUUCUCUUGAUAGCUUUAAUUCAUGUGGUAUUUCUCCUCCAUUCCCGCCGCAUAUUCCUUAAAGUCCAAACAAAAAGCCAUCA